AACGCACAUUGCGCCCUGUGGUAUUCCGCAGAGCAUGCCUGUUCGAGCGUCAUUACAACCACUCAAGCCUGGCUUGGUAUUGGGGUUUGCGGUUCCGCAGCCCCUAAAAUCAGUGGCGGUGCUGGUGUGGCUCUACGCGUAGUAAUUCUUCUCGCGAUGGAGUUCCCCUGGAUACCUGCCAGAACCCCCCAAUUUUUACAGGUUGACCUCGGAUCAGGUAGGGAUACCCGCUGAACUUAA
rnacentral:misc_RNA from 1 species